rnacentral:rRNA from 1 species
UACGUAGGGUGCGAGCGUUAAUCGGAAUUACUGGGCGUAAAGCGUGCGCGGGCGGUCUCGUAAGACAGGUGUGAAAUCCCCGGGCUCAACCUGGGAACUGCGCUUGUGACUGCGAGGCUAGAGUGCGGAAGAGGGAGGUGGAAUUCCACGUGUAGCAGUGAAAUGCGUAGAGAUGUGGAGGAACACCGAUGGCGAAGGCAGCCUCCUGGGCCAGCACUGACGCUCAUGCACGAAAGCGUGGGGAGCAAACAGG